UGCCACGUGGAGCUCACCUCUGGGUUCAAUACCAGCGCUGUGAUCCAGCUGACGGUUCCCCGGGUCUCCUCGGAGAGGCCUAUGGGACACGGGGCACACCGCCGUAGACGUUCAUCACAUGGUGCUGGAGGGUCGACGUUUGAACUUUCCAUGGGCUUUGAACUUAUGGCCUCGAAGUUUUCAGCGGAGGGUUCCGAUGGCCAUAGCGGCAGCAGCGGCAGCGGUGGCAGCGGCAGAAGCGGCAGAAGCGGCAGCAGCGGCAGCAGCAGCGGCAGUAGCAGUAGCAGCGGCAGCAGCAGCAGCAGCAGCAGUAGCAGUGGCAGCAGCAGCAGCAGUGAGGAGGAUGCUGCGGCAGAACGCGGGGAUGUGUGGACUCUCUACGGCAUUUUCCAGUUGAGCGAUCGCGUCGUGUGCGACUCUGGUUCCGUGCCAUCACUGAACCUCUGUCAGACGAACUGCAGUGCCUUUCUUGAUGAUGACAUCACUAAUGACAUUGUCUGCGGUGAGACAAUACACAUGAAAAUGUAAGUAGCCUGGGCUGAAUGUGGCUGUUUGCUCAGAAACAAAGUCAGCAUAA
rnacentral:lncRNA from 1 species